rnacentral:rRNA from 1 species
AAAUUGAAGAGUUUGAUCAUGGCUCAGAUUGAACGCUGGCGGCAGGCCUAACACAUGCAAGUCGAGCGGAAACGAGUUAUCUGAACCUUCGGGGAACGAUAGCGGCGUCGAGCGGCGGACGGGUGAGUAAUGCCUAGGAAAUUGCCCUGAUGUGGGGGAUAACCAUUGGAAACGAUGGCUAAUACCGCAUGAUGCCUACGGGCCAAAGAGGGG